ACCCCACCCCCAGCUGCUCCAGCAAGUUUGGAGCAGUAGAGAAAUGCUGAAACUAGGAUGGGAUCAGAUUGAGGAGGGGGCUAAAAUCACCUGUCUCACCGGAAUGUCCCCCCCUUUUCUCGCACGCCCCAGACUGGAGAGCGCUCGGGGCCUCGAAAACUGUCAGGUACCCGAACUGGGGCUAAGCGAGUUGCUAACGAGAUUGCCAAAGCCUUCCUCUGGCAGGGGCUUUGGGGUUGCUCCUAAAGCCAGGGGUCUGGCGGGUGGGGCGAGCAGAGGACCACCCCCUCACCAAGGGCAACGUUGAGAGGCUGGAGCGCUGGGAAGAAGCCGUGAGCGCUGUCUGUGCUCCGCAGCCUGCGCGGUCCAAAAGCGCUUGGAUUCCCCGAGAACCGGCGGGGAGCGUCCGGGUCCCAGUAUUCGCGGGUGGGGUGGGGGCGGCGGGAACCUGCCCCAGGGCUGGGCACUGGGCCAGGGCCGGUAGAGAGCGAUGGCACUCACGAGACGUAGUUGGGUGCGCCCGCUCGCGGGGUUCCCCUGGCAGACUCACCCCCAAGAGCAUCUAAGUGCGCGCCCACUUUGGCUGACGUCCGCUGUCCCUCUCACGGAAACUCCUACACAAACGGCACACACAUUCGCGCCCACACUCAGUAUUACAAACACCCUUCCACGCGCACACUCACCCACACACAUACACUUUCCUUCACAAAUAUGCCCGUAUACACGGCAAGCACACUCACACGCAUCACUGUACAAACCCACAUACACUCAAAAAACGUCUCCCUGUGUACCAAAUGGUCACAUACACAUGCAAACACAUCCCCCCAUGCUCUCUUCCAUACUCCUUUCUCAAAUCUCCGUACUCAUGAUUUGCGGUACGCUCAGUCCCAAAUCAUAAUCAGCGCCCGCAGAGCCCAGGUUGGAUACACACACGCGCGCGCACGCACGCACUACCCCUCCUCCCCGCACGAGCGGGGGAGGCUUCGGCCGGGCGCCCGCUUCGGAUUCCAGGUGUGGCGGCGGUUCCGUGCUCCGCGUUUUGCAGCCCGCCGCGGUGUUGGAGGCGAGGCGAGGAAGGGAGCUGGAAUAACAAAGGUGUUCUUAAAGAUGAAUAAUGCUCCGCCCCCCGUGCCGGGUCUUCUGGGGAUGAGCCACAGCCUGGAGGAGCUGAGGAGGCCACAUCACAUGAGGAAGCUUUACUGUUUCCCCUUCUCCUGAAAUGUGUCUGGGAUGGAGAGUGUGGAGAGUGGGCCCACCUUUAUCUGGGUCCACUCAGGCUGCUGCAGAGACUACCCCAGACUGGGUGGCUGAUAGACAAGACAUUCAUUUUCCACACUUCCUGAGACUGGGAAGUCUGAGAUGAAGGUAAGUGCAGAUUCAGUGUCUAGCCAGCGCCUGCUUCCUGCUUCAUAGACUCUGGCUGUCUUCUCACUGUGUCCUCAGGAGCAGAAGGGAUGCCGGAGCUCUCCGGGGCCUCUUUGAUAAGGGCACUAAUCCCAUUCAUGAGGGUGACACCCUUACACCUAACCACCUUCCCAGAGUCCCACCUCCUAGUACUGUCACCUUGGGGGUCAGUGUUUCAACCUAUGAAUUUCCAGAGGAAGUGUUCAGACCUUAGCAAUCUUGUUUUUUUUUUGUCUUUUUGCCUUUUCUAGGGCCACUCCCACGGCAUAUGGACGUUCCCAGGCUAGGGGUCUAAUCGGAGCUGUAACCGCCGGCCUACGCCAGAGCCACAGCAAUGCGGGAUCUGAGCCGCGUCUGCAACCUACACCACAGCUCACGGCAAUGCCAGAUCCCUAACCCACUGAGCAAGGCCAGGGAUGGAACCCACAACCUCAUGGUUCCUAGUCGGGUUCAUUAACCACUGCACCACCAUGGGAACUCCCAGUUUUUUUUUUUAGUGAUUUUUAGUUUUUCCAUGAUUGUUGGUUUACAAUGUCAGCAAUCUUGUUCUGACAAAGAUUCUUUAAUGAUACAAGAGAGGAGUUUUGGAGUCUCACAGCCCCCCCUUUUCCCCCCCUCCCCCGUGGACAUUGUACCCACUUCCUAGACAAGCAGACUAAGGUUUGGAGUGAGAGCCCAGAUGUCCUUGCUCAUAUUCAGAGACUGACUCCCUGGACUUUGGGUCAAGAGGGAAAUUCUCCCUCUGCUGGUUUCCAGGGCAGUGCUGCCCUGUACCUCAGCCGCUCUCAAUUUCUGGCCGGCCAGAGCCUCUUGAGCAGGAGGAGGGAUGUUGUUCCUGGUCCGCGUUGUGCCUGCUCUUGUGACGCUGGGCUUCUCUGCUGCCCACAUGCUCAUUCCUGCAAUAAAAAUACUUCUCCAAUUAGUUCUAAUUUUAAC
rnacentral:lncRNA from 1 species